rnacentral:rRNA from 2 species
UCAGAACGAACGCUGGCGGCAGGCCUAAUACAUGCAAGUCGAGCGACGCUUCGGGGUGAGCGGCGGACGGGUGAGUAACGCGUGGGAAUAUGCCCUUCUCUAAGGAAUAGCCUCUGGAAACGGAGAGUAAUACCUUAUACGCCCUUUGGGGGAAAGAUUUAUCGGAGAAGGAUUAGCCCGCGUUAGAUUAGGUAGUUGGUGGGGUAAUGGCCUACCAAGCCUACGAUCUAUAGCUGGUUUGAGAGGAUGAUCAGCCACACUGGGACUGAGACACGGCCCAGACUCCUACGGGAGGCAGCAGUAGGGAAURUUAGACAAUGGGGGCAACCCUGAUCUAGCCAUGCCGCGUGUGUGAUGAAGGCCCUAGGGUCGUAAAGCACUUUCGCCAGAGAUGAUAAUGACAGUAUCUGGUAAAGAAACCCCGGCUAACUCCGUGCCAGCAGCCGCGGUAAUACGGAGGGGGUUAGCGUUGUUCGGAAUUACUGGGCGUAAAGCGCACGUAGGCGGAUUAGUAAGUUAGAGGUGAAAUCCCAGGGCUCAACCCUGGAACUGCCUUUAAUACUGCUAGUCUUGAGUUCGAGAGAGGUAAGUGGAAUUCCGAGUGUAGAGGUGAAAUUCGUAGAUAUUCGGAGGAACACCAGUGGCGAAGGCGGCUUACUGGCUCGAUACUGACGCUGAGGUGCGAAAGUGUGGGGAGCAAACAGGAUUAGAUACCCUGGUAGUCCACACCGUAAACGAUGAAUGCCAGACGUCAGCAAGUAUACUUGUUGGUGUCACACCUAACGGAUUAAGCAUUUCGCCUGGGGAGUACGGUCGCAAGAUUAAAACUCAAAGGAAUUGACGGGGCCCGCACAAGCGGUGGAGCAUGUGKUUUAAUUCGAAGCAACGCGCAGAACCUUACCAACCCUUGACAUCCUGUGCUACUACCAGAGAUGGUACGUUCCCUUCGGGGACGCAGUGACAGGUGCUGCAUGGCUGUCGUCAGCUCGUGUCGUGAGAUGUUCGGUUAAGUCCGGCAACGAGCGCAACCCACAUCUUUAGUUGCCAGCAGGUUAAGCUGGGCACUCUAGAGAAACUGCCCGUGAUAAGCGGGAGGAAGGUGUGGAUGACGUCAAGUCCUCAUGGCCCUUACGGGUUGGGCUACACACAGUGCUACAAUGGCAGUGACAAUGGGUUAAUCCCCAAAAGCUGUCUCAGUUCGGAUUGGGGUCUGCAACUCGACCCCAUGAAGUCGGAAUCGCUAGUAAUCGCGUAACAGCAUGACGCGGUGAAUACGUUCCCGGGCCUUGUACACACCGCCCGUCACACCAUGGGAGUUGGUUCUACCCGACGACGCUGCGCUAACCCUUCGGGGAGGCAGGCGGCCACGGUAGGAUCAGCGACUGGGGUG